UGGGCAAGGGGUGGCAAUAGCCAUUUCUACCAUCUGUAAUGCCUCUUUCAGCAUUAUGAAUUCAAAACCAGGUCAGGUAGAGGAUACGCCGAAGAUCACACUCCGCUAUUUUUGUCUGUUAAUGUGCACGCCCAGGAAAUUUCUUCUCCAUGAGGAAUUGGUGAUAUUUUUAUUGGUGAUCAGAAAAUAAUAAAAAAGUAUUAAGAAACAAGCCAAUAUUUAAACAUUAUAGAAAACUGCAUUAUUAUUCACUAGAAUUAUAUAAGCAACAGGGAGAUUAUGCUAGUCAUUCAUACAUCA